rnacentral:pre_miRNA from 1 species
UACUUACUCUACAGGUGGGUCAUUUGAUAAAACCAGUAUGAAGAGAAGAAAAUUUCUAGUGGUCUCCUUUUUGCCUGAAGAGUAAUGUGGUGUACAGGUU